AUGGGCUGUGACAGCUCAGGUGCUGCUGCUGCUCCCCCCGGGGACAAUCCCCUCCACACGGAGAUUUCCUGGGGGCUCUGCUUUGCUCUGGAAGCCCCAGCUCGGCCCGAGGCGUCUCCAAAUCCAUUUUGUGCCUCCCCACAGAAAAUGCAAUCCCUGAACUUGGCUGCUGACUCACAGCCCAAACCUUUCUGGAGGCAGAGAGCACAAACCCGACCUCACCACCCCACCCAGGGAGGCUGCAGCCAGUGUUUACCAAACUUCCAGAUCCCAAGGUGGAAAAAUCUAAAGAAAUCCAAAACAAAACAAGUUUGGGGGUGUCCAGUGCUGCUGCCUCAGAGAGAGCAGCUCCCCCUUCAUCCAGCUGUGGGACAUCAAACCUGCUCCUCAGUCAGACAGAGAAGAUUCCCAAGGACACAAGGAAUGGCCUUCAAAUGGCCUUUCCCAUUUUUUCUGCUCAGAUACAUCCCAAAUAUAUAUUCCAAAGAGGAGUGUGCUGUAAUUAGAGCAGGUUGAGCCUGAAUUUAUUAUCAAACCUCUCCAGGACAAACUUUAUCCACACUCCCAAGUUUUUAACCUGCUCUGGAAGCAGCACCAGCCUGGAGAUGCCAUUUCCCAGCCCUUUCCUCGCUGUUUCUCCCAGAAAAAUCUGAAUAUUAAAGGCAGCUUUGAGAAAUCCUGCAGGAUCAGCGAGGACAAAGGAGGUGACAGCUUUAAUUUUGUUUUAGUUUUAAAGUCUGUUUUGCCAACAGCUGCUCCACCACGCCUGGGUUUAAAUCCUGGCUCUGUUUUGGUGGCAGAGGCGCCUCCCAGCACUGAAAACCUUGGGAAUUUUUAUUUCUUUUAAUUAGUGCAGAUCACAGGCCUGGCCUCUUCCUGGUUGGGUUUGACCUGGAGGAGCAGAGGGAGGAAUUCCCGAAUUCCCACGCUGCUCUUCCCAGCCCUGGGAGGGAAUUCUCCCCCAGCAGGGCUCAGGGCUGGAGCAUUUCCCUGCCCAGACUCUCCCAGCUGCAGCACUGGGAUGGAUUUUCCAGGGAAUCCGCGGCUGCCCCAUCCCUGGCAGUCCUCCACCCCAAACCAUCCCAUGAUUCCCAUUUAAAAAAUCCCAAUUUCAGGAUUCCUGACUCAUUCCCAGCCUGAAAAUUCCCAGAGGAUUUGUGGCUGCCCCAUCCCUGGCUGGAGGGGGUUUGGGACAAACUGAGACUGGGGAAGGUCCUGCCCAUGGGAUCAUCCUUAAGAUCCUCCAAACCAUUCCAUGAUUCCCACAAAAAAUCUCAAUUUCAGGAUUCCUGACUCAUUCCCAGCUUGCAAAUUCCCAGAGGAUUUGUGGCUGCUGCUGUCACUCCCCAAGGCUGGAUGAGGUUUGGGACAAACUGGGAUUGGGGAAUGGGAUGAUCCUUUAGGUCUCCCCAACUCAAAUAAUUCCAUGAUUCCCACAAAAAAAUCCCAGUUUCAGGAUUCCUGACUCAUUCCCAGCAUGAAAAUUCCCACAGGAUUCAUGGCUGCCCCAUCCCUGGCAGGCCCCAAGGCUGGAUGAGGUUUGGGACAAACUGGGAUCAUCCAGGAGUGGGAAUGGGAUCAUCCUUAAGAUCCUCCAAACCAUCCCAUGAUUCCCACAAAAAAAUCCCAGUUUCAGGAUUCCUGACUCAUUCCCAGGGAAUCUCUGGCUGUUCCAUCCCUGGAAGUGCCCAAGGCCAGGCUGGAGCUGGAGAUGUCCCUGCCCAUGGAUGAGCUUUAAGGUCCCUCCAACCCAAAUAAUUCUGGGAUUUUGGGGAAAUCUCCCAGGAGAUUUCACAGAUUCUGCCCUCACCCUCUCCCAGCACAGAGACCUGGCCAGGGCCAGGCUGAAUCCCUGAAUUCAGAGCAGGCAGAGGAGAAAUAAUAUAAAUAAAUCAAUACAUAAAAUGGAUAUAAAUCUAAAUUCAUAUAAAUUAAUAGAAUACAAAACAUAUAAAAUACAUAAUAAAUAAUAAUUUAUAAGUAUUCUACAAUAAUAUAUAUAUUUAUAUAACAGAUUUAUAUAACAUAUUAUUAAUGUAAUGUAAUACAAUGCAAUAUAAUAUUUCUGGAAAUAAACAAAUUUCCAGCAGGCUCCCCUGAGAUGUGAGCCAAGAUAACAACAUUUAAUAAUCUGCCUUUGCCAGGCUGAUCCAGGCCCAUUAAGAACAUUCCUGCUUUCAUUUAACUCACUUGGGAAAAUGCAAUUUAAGGGUAAGAAGUUGUUAAACUCCCCAACUUGGUCUUUUUUACACUUAAAAGCCCUUUGUGGGGAAAAGGAGAUUCAAGGUGAGAACUUGCACCCAAGAUUUUCUUUUUCCUUCUGGCACCUUGCUGGCCAAAAGAAGGAAAUGGGGAAAAUGUUUCAAAGUGACUUAAGAGGUUUUAUUUAAAGGUGUAAAACCAGUUUAAUAAAACCAGUUUAAUGGGAAUGAAAGAACUGAGUCACUUCCAAAUGGGAGACCUGCUCUGCCUGGAGAAAUGUGUUACUUAUUAAUUUCAAAUUAAUGGGCUGAACUGUUUCUGGGAACAGAAGCUGCUUCAAAUCCAGAGUCAUAGUCAGCAGUGAAGUGAAAUUAAAAUAAAUAAAUAAAUGAAAUAGGGCCAGUUUAGGGAAACAGAGAUGGCAGCUCUGUGUGGUAAAUUGGAUUAUAGACAAAUUAUUCCUUCACUCAUUUCUCAGGAAGUGAAGCAGAAACACCACAAUAAUAUCACCUUCAUAAAACACUGAAAAAAAAAAACAUUUAGCUUAAAACAAAACCUGAAUUCCAAGUAGAAACUUUAAAAGGAAAAAAAAAUUCUGUAGUGGCUUGAUCUCACAAGAGGAGGAGAACAGAAAUUCUCAGGCUGAAACCACUGCAGUUAAUCACAGAUAAUCUGGAAAGGGUCAUGAGGAGCAAACCCACAGAGCUCUGCGGUCAGGGGAGGCCCCCCGAUAAUGAACCCCCAAAAUCUGCUCCCAGGGCCAAGAGCUGGGCUGGACACGCUGCAGGAGAGAAGAGAGGGGGGCACAGGAAAUGUGAUGCUGCUGGAGCUGUUAUCUGCCCCCAACAGCAACCUGAAAGGAGAGAGAAUUCAAAUAAAGACGAGAGAAAAUGCAAAUAAAAACAAGAGAAAAUUCAAAUAAAAUCCCAGCUCCUCAUCAAAUUCACGAGUUCGCAGUGAAUGUGAAGGCAGCUCUUGGAAAAAAAGCAAAAUUUAGAGUUUUGGGGGGUAAAUGAAAUAUUUUUGAGGAGGAGAUGGGUUUGUGCAGGGUUGUUUUCUCCAUCCACACAGGAGGGAGAGCUGUAAAAAAUAUUUUGGGGCCAAGGGCUAAUUGGGCUAAAAACUGAGCUAAAUUGGGCUAAAAAUUGAGCUAAAUCUGAGCUAAAAAUUGAGGCAAAAACUUCAAAUCAGCAUCAGCUUCCCGAGGAGCUCUCCCUGCUCUGCAUCCACGGGGGAGUGAAUUCCACAGCAGCACUUGAACGUGACCUCCAUCGAUGGGAAGAGUUUAAAAAAAAACCAAGCACACAAAAAAAUCAUUUCCUGGGCUACACAAAACCCUGGAGCCGGAGCUGAGAGCGAGCCCUGGGUGUGGCUGUGAACCCUCAAAGCGAUUCCAGAGAGGGAACCAAACAAAUCCUUUAUCCCAGAGCAGGGAACCAAACAAAUCCUUUAUCCCAGAGCAGGGAACCAAACAAAUCCCAAAAAUCCCACAUCAGGGAACCAAACAAAUCCCCAAAAUCCCACAUCCCAGAGCAGGGAACCACACAAAUCCCUCAUCCCAGAGCUGCAGGGUUCUCCCAGAGGGAGCUCAGAGCACACACAGAGGUUCUGCACCCCUCAGCAAUUCCAGUUCUCUGUUUCAUUUAUCCCACUGGGGGGACACACGCCCCAAAUUUCAGUGGAGGAAGUAAAAACCCCAAACCUGUUCACUUUGCUGCAUCCAAAGUGUAUCUGAAACCAGGCUUUUAAAGCACAGGGAAUACCCUGGGAUGGGAUUUUCAGAGUUUUUCCAGGUUUCCUUCAAUGUGCAAGAUAGGCAAGGACAGAAGCAGAGAUUCAGGGAGGAUCCUGAGCUGGGGGGAACUCACAGGGAUCAUUGUCCAGACACCCCAAAAUCCCACCCUGGGCAUCCCUGGGAGCUCUGGGGCUGUGCCCAUUCCCUGGGGAGCCUUUUCCAGUGCCCAGCCCCCUCUGGGAGGAGAACCUUUCCCAAAAAUCCAGCCCUGGCCCAGCCCCAGCCCUGUCCUUGCUCAGGGAACAGCAGCUCUUGAAAUCAACUCUGCCCCAUUGACUCUUCCAAGGACACUCUCACGGCCCAAACAAAUCCAUCCUGGUCCCACCUUUGGACUGGAUUUUCAUCCCUGGGACCAAACAGCACCAAAACACAAACAGGAUAUUCCUGAGGCAAAAUGAGAAUUAGGGAUUAGAACCUGCCAGGGGUCGUUGUCUGCCAAGGGAAUCUGAUUCCCCCAGCUUGGCAGUUUUGCUGCAGCUCCUGAACCUCGUCCCUGCUCAUCCCAAACAUCCCAAACAAAGCAGCUGUUUGUGGGAUUCAUUCCCUGGGAAUGCCAGCAAGGCAAAGGGAAUUUUAUCAGGGAGGUUUCCUCCGUGGUUUGAACUUCUGCAGGAUGGAGCAGCAGGGAAAGCAGUGGGCUCAGAGAGGGGAAAAGCAGCCUGCAGGUGAAGGAGGGUGGAAAUUCCUGAGGGGAGCUCCAGAUGAGGGAUCUGUGUCAGGGUGGGAGCCUGGAAGUGCAGGUUCCCCGGCAGAGGUGGGAAUUUCACCUGUUUGGGGUGCUCAGAGGGAAAAGGAGGAAUUCCAGAAGCUGCAGGAUUGAACCUCUCUGAUCCCAUUAUUGCAGAGCUCCCAAAACCUGGGGCAGCAGCACCCAACCCCAAACAUUCCCGUGAUCCAGAACCUCCCUCCACCUCCCGGUGGGAUCAGAUAAAGGGAAUGGGAGAAGCAGGACCUGCAGCCAGGUACCAGGAUCUGGGAUUCCACACUGGGCA
ensembl:lncRNA